CAGCCGCCGCGGUAAUACGAAGGGUGCAAGCGUUAAUCGGAAUUACUGGGCGUAAAGCGUGCGUAGGCGGUGAGUUAAGUCUGCUGUGAAAUCCCCGGGCUCAACCUGGGAAUGGCAGUGGAUACUGGCUCGCUAGAGUGUGUCGGAGGAUGGUGGAAUUCCCGGUGUAGCGGUGAAAUGCGUAGAGAUCGGGAGGAGCAUCAGUGGCGAAGGCGGCCAUCUGGGACAACACUGACGCUGAGGCACGAAAGCGUGGGGAGCAAACAGGAUUAGAUACCCCAGUAGUCCCUGUCUCUUAUAC
rnacentral:rRNA from 1 species